rnacentral:lncRNA from 1 species
UCUGAUCGUCCUUCUUUGGGAGUGCUUACUCGUGCGAAAGGCACUGGAUGGCUGGUUUUACUCCUUCCUUCGGAUCACCUAGACUCUUUCGGAUCUAAAGAUGGACCCAUAAGAGGAACACAAGAUGGUAGAGGAAGAAUAGGAAAGACUCUCUUUUCUUUUUCUUCUCACAAAACCCGAGAGAUGAAACCCUAGAGCACCCACCCUAACACCUCAUGCCCAAAGAGGAAUCGGUAUCCUCUUUUUGUCACACAAGAAGGCCCACCCCCUCUCUGAUUUUUCAUGCCCCUUCUCAGAUGUUUCUCACUAAA